rnacentral:lncRNA from 1 species
GAGAACCAAAUCACAAAAAUCACAACUUUUCUCUAUUUUCUGUUUUGUAAAAUAAUUUGACCCACAUCCAUCCCACCACCGUCUUCUUUCUUCAUACCAAGACCUAAAAUCAAUUAACAAUUCCCUUCUUUAUACAACAAAUAAACGGUGAGAGAAAAAAGAAGAUAAACAUAUCUUAGUGUGACCGACUUUAAGAGUACAAACUAGCUAGAGACGAUGGUUAGUAGUGAGAUCUAUGAUGCACGCAGAUCUAUGAUGCAGAUUUCCUUUUCAUUUUUCUUGGUGUUGGGUUUCAUGAUGUUGAUGUAGUUACUGAUGGUGGAAAACGGAUGAACAUUAGGUUAGGUUUUUUUAUUAAGUCUGCUUGCGUAAUGGAGUUACUGGGAAAAAAUUACUCAGCUCCCUCCUAGCGUCUCUUCCCUGUUCUCCUUGGCCUUCCCAUCCUCCCUUGCUAUCUCCACAGUGACAGAAUAAUCAAAGACUCUCAUUCUCUUAUCAAAUAUGUGCGAGAUGUUUUGUUAAUUGACAGAGAGAAUUCCCACUGAAUCAAAUUCCACUGAGCUUCAAAGCAUCACCUGGAGGUACUUCGCUCUUAAACAAUACCCUAGAUUGGUGAUGAAGAAUUUGAAUCACCCCUAAUUGGCAGAUAGAUUUGACUUGAGUAUCUUGUAGAAAUAAAAAAAUAAAAUCAGACAAAUUAAUUUAUCUAAUACAAACUAAUUGAAAUUGGAUUCAUGACUCAGUAGUGGAACAUUUUUAUUUGUUCAGAUCUGCUUGAUCUUUUGAUUUAUUUUUGUG